UCUGCUUUAGAAGAGGAAAGAAGUUUCAAGAUGAAAGUACCCGAAAUAGUUUUGGUUUUUUUGUGAUUAAAAUGGUGUUAUUUUGCCCGAGCUCGAGCCAUUGUCUUUCCAAGGCAGACAUUGGAGGCCGUUCUGAAGACCUAUAGUGUCCUAUAUCAUAACAAUCCCUGAAGGACCCUUACAGGGGUUAGGGAAGCGUGAAGAUGUUAUCAAGGAUGAAACCUAUUAGAUGCUUAACUUGGCUGCUGCUGAUAAAACAUAAUGGCAGGACUGUUCGAACUUCAAAUCACCACUUCUUCCUCUGCAGUUUUUUCAUAACGGCUGAUGAUGGCAGUUAAAAGAAUCGGUUAAACUUUUGGACAUUCAAGACAUAACUAGAAAGAACGAAGAACUUAAUGAAGGCCAAGCAAGAGUAGGAGAGGAUCGGUUGUUAGGGGAUGGAACAAGAUAACCACUAGUUUUUCAGGUUAUCUUUACCUUCGGGACGAAAUAGAGAAAAUUGAAGAAUACUUCUCAUAUUCAACUCUGCCUCUACGACGAAUGGAGACGAAGAAUACAUCUCAUAUUCAACUUUACCUCUGCGUCAAAAUGGAUUAGAUUGAAGGAUACUUAUCGUAUCCAACUUUGCCUCUACGACGAAAUGGAGAAGAUUGAAGAAAACUUAUGUUCAACGUUCAUAUAACCGAGGCGUCUCCCUUUUGUCAGCUUCUCCCGCAUUC